GACGGAGGAUGCAAGCGUUAUCCGGAAUUAUUGGGCGUAAAGCGUUCGCAGGUGGCUGUUCAAGUCUGCCGUCAAAGACCGGGGCUUAACCCCAGAAAGGCAGUGGAAACUGAACGGCUGGAGUGCAGUAUGGGUAGAGGGAAUUCCCAGUGUAGCGGUGAAAUGCGUAGAGAUUGGGAAGAACACCGGUGGCGAAAGCGCUCUGCUGGACUGCAACUGACACUGAGGGACGAAAGCUAGGGGAGCGAAAGGG
rnacentral:rRNA from 1 species